UGCUAUAAUCCUCAAACUUUAAAGAGUUAUUUGAUUGCAUAUAGUUGCAGCUGUACUGUAGCUAUAACUGCAUAUAAGUACAAAUUCGGUAUUUAGUUUGAUAUAUUUAACUUCAACUAUUACAGUAAAAAUUACGCCCAAAUUGACUACAGUUCCAACUGUAACAGUUGAAGAAAGUAACUUUAAGCAAAAAGUAAGCUUUCCUUCUUAAAUAUUCUUUCAAUAAAAAAUAAAAAAAAUUCUACUUUGGAGGCAAUAUUACCACCAUAUAUAUAAAAUGAUAAAAUUUUAAAAUUCAUUUCUCAACUGCAUACAACCAAACAAAUUAUUUAUAGUUGCAGCGCUUUCUAUUACAUCAUAUCAAAUAUGAUACAUGUAGUUGCAACUGCUGCAGUACCAACUGCAUGCAUUUUCAAGUACACUGCAUUUGUAAUUACAUUUAAUCAAACUGUCCCUAAAUCAUUGUGAUUUUUAACUCAAACUAUGAAGCACGUAUUUUAGUCCUUAAACUUUAAUUAGUUGUAAUUUUUUAUUCAAAUUAUGAGUUACAUGAUUUUUUUAGUUCUCAAACUUUCUAAAUUGUGACAACAUCCUCCUUGAUGAUGUAAUAAUAAUUAAAAUACAAAUUUAUUUAGAUAUUAGUAAUUCGUUAAUAUUUAUUUUAAAAAAAUUGAAAAAUUCCAGAACUAAUAUGUCACAUAUUCUUUAGUUUGAGUAAAAAAUUGUAACUAAUUAAAGUUUAAUAAGAGCUACAGUGUCACACAGCUCAUAAUUCAAGUCAGAAAUUACAACGAAUUAAAGUUUGAAAACUAAAUUGUCAUACGUGGGAACACUGAGUGUAGCCCACUUAAAAGGCUAGGUCUCUAUAAAUACAGAUAG
rnacentral:lncRNA from 1 species